rnacentral:tRNA from 7 species
GCGAGAGUGGCGGAACUGGCAGACGCGCGAGACUUAGGAUCUCGUGGGAGACCGUGGGGGUUCAAAUCCCCCCUCUCGCACCA